rnacentral:lncRNA from 1 species
GCAGCACUUCAUUAUCGUCACAAUCUGCUACCUUUUUAAUAUAGUAUCUGACAUUUCAGUCAGACAGAGCUUCGUCCUUAAGCUGUGAUGGCUGGAGUAAUGAGAUACUCAGAGAGGCAGCUGACCCUGUGUUGAUCAACCCAGCAUGCCUCGUGGAGGACUAGCAAGUGCCAACAGGCAUUACUUGAACUACAAGAAGAUCAUCAAGCAGCGAGAAUAUGCCUACAGAUCACCAUAUAUUGUUUACAGUUCAGGAAUUUAGCGAUGACAUCUCUUCUAGAUUAAAUGAAGCAUGUCCCAAUACAUUCACAGCACUCUGAAGAAUAAUUGCUGGAUUUUCACUAAAUUCUCUGAUAUUCAAAGGCACAAAACUUCAAAGACAGACUGUCUAUAAAAUUCAC